GUAGGUGGCAAGCGUUGUCCGGAGUUAUUGGGCGUAAAGCGCGCGCAGGCGGUUCUUUAAGUCUGAUGUGAAAGCCCACGGCUCAACCGUGGAGGGUCAUUGGAAACUGGAGAACUUGAGUACAGAAGAGGAAAGCGGAAUUCCACGUGUAGCGGUGAAAUGCGUAGAGAUGUGGAGGAACACCAGUGGCGAAGGCGGCUUUCUGGUCUGUAACUGACGCUGAGGCGCGAAAGCGUGGGGAGCAAACAGGGAUUAGAUACCCUGGUAGUCCACGCCGUAAACGAUGAGUGCUAAGUGUUAGGGGGUUUCCGCCCCCUUAGUGCUGCAGCUAACGCAUUAAGCACUCCGCCUGGGGAGUACGGCCGCAAGGCUG
rnacentral:rRNA from 1 species